rnacentral:lncRNA from 1 species
GAAAGCACAAUGUCUGUGAGGCUAAUGCCAUAAAUUUCCAUCUGAAAGGAAAAAAGUAAGAAAGCUGAGUGUGGUGGUUUACACGUGUAAUCCCUAGCACUCAGGCAGCCAAACUAGAUUGACAGAUGGAAGACAGACAGACAGACAGACGGAGGGAGCUCCAGGCCAGGCUGGGCUAGAGAGUGAUUCCUCAUCCUCCCCUAAAACAAACAAUAAGAGGAACCAACAAGAAAGGAGAAAAGAAGAAGACAAAACACAACAGAGUUGUUCUCACAGCAUUUCCUGUCUCACUUUUGCUUUGUUAUGGACGGUGAGGGUUUGAGUUAGGGUUGUUUUGUGUUAGCAGACAAGGUCUUACUGAUGGCUACAGUAAACUGAUCCCUAAACUGGGGAUCCUUCUAUUCCAGUCUCCAGACUGCUAGGAUUAUAAGUAUCUACCACCAUGCCUAGCCUUUCUUUUCAAUUAAAGAUUCCAUUCCUGGAAGUGGAAGAGAUGAUUCAUCAGUUAAGAGCACUGGCUGCUCUUAUAGAAGACCCAGGUUUGGUUCCCAGCACUCAUAUGGCAGCUCACAACCAUUGUAACUCAGUUCCAGGGGAUCCAAUGCCCUCUUCCAGCUUCCCCAGGUGUGCAUAUAAUGUGAAUACAUACAUGCAGACAAAACACUCAUACACAUAAAGAAAUAAUUUAAAAUUUUAAAGGCUCCAUUGAAAUUGGAUUAAAAAAUAAACCCAUAUAAUUUU